GGUUUCCGUAGGUGAACCUGCGGAAGGAUCGUUGUCGA
rnacentral:rRNA from 1 species